GAUGAACGCUGGCGGCGUGCCUAAUACAUGCCAGUCGAGCGAACGGACGAGAAGCUUGCUUCUCUGAUGUUAGCGGCGGACGGGUGAGUAACACGUGGAUAACCUACCUAUAAGACUGGGAUAACUUCGGGAAACCGGAGCUAAUACCGGAUGAUAUUUUGAACCGCAUGGUUCAAAAGUGAAAGACGGUCUUGCUGUCACUUAUAGAUGGAUCCGCGCUGCAUUAGCUAGUUGGUAAGGUAACGGCUUACCAAGGCAACGAUGCAUAGCCGACCUGAGAGGGUGAUCGGCCACACUGGAACUGAGACACGGUCCAGACUCCUACGGGAGGCGGCAGUAGGGAAUCUUCCGCAAUGGGCGAAAGCCUGACGGAGCAACGCCGCGUGAGUGAUGAAGGUCUUCGGAUCGUAAAACUCUGUUAUUAGGGAAGAACAUAUGUGUAAGUAACUGUGCACAUCUUGACGGUACCUAAUCAGAAAGCCACGGCUAACUACGUG
rnacentral:rRNA from 1 species